rnacentral:rRNA from 1 species
AGCGAACGCUGGCGGCAGGCCUAACACAUGCAAGUCGAACGAACUCUUCGGAGUUAGUGGCGGACGGGUGAGUAACACGUGGGAACGUGCCUUUAGGUUCGGAAUAACUCAGGGAAACUUGUGCUAAUACCGAAUGUGCCCUUCGGGGGAAAGAUUUAUCGCCUUUAGAGCGGCCCGCGUCUGAUUAGCUAGUUGGUGAGGUAAAGGCUCACCAAGGCGACGAUCAGUAGCUGGUCUGAGAGGAUGAUCAGCCACAUUGGGACUGAGACACGGCCCAAACUCCUACGGGAGGCAGCAGUGGGGAAUCUUACGCAAUGGGCGAAAGCCUGACGCAGCCAUGCCGCGUGAAUGAUGAAGGUCUUAGGAUUGUAAAAUUCUUUCACCGGGGACGAUAAUGACGGUACCCGGAGAAGAAGCCCCGGCUAACUUCGUG